rnacentral:rRNA from 1 species
UACGGGGGGGGCAAGCGUUGUUCGGAAUUACUGGGCGUAAAGGGUUCGUAGGUGGCCAACUAAGUCAGACGUGAAAUCCCUCAGCUUAACUGGGGAACUGCGUCUGAUACUGGUUGGCUUGAGUGCAGGAGAGGAAUGCGGAAUUCCAGGUGUAGCGGUGAAAUGCGCAGAUAUCAGGAGGAACACCGGUGGCGAAGGCGGGUCUCUGGGCCGAAAUUGACGCUGAGGAGCGAAAGCGUGGGGAGCGAACAGG